GGGGGAGUAGCUCAGCGGUAGAGCAGCGGGUUUAUACCCCGUGGCGCCAGAUAAGCGGCAGGUCGUGGGUUCGAAUCCCACCUCCCGUA
rnacentral:tRNA from 1 species